UAGAGGUGGGUUACAAUUUCAAGAGAAAUACGAAAAGCAGAAUGAAAAACUGCUUGAAGGUGGAUUUAAUUGUAAAGUUAAAAAUAACUUGAUAAGAGCACUAACUUGUGUACACACCGCCCGUCGCUCUCUUUUAUAAAAGAGAUAAGUCGUAACAAGGUAAGUGUAAUGGAAAUUGCACUUGA
rnacentral:rRNA from 1 species